AUAUGAUUGUUAAUACGUCAGCCCUUUAACUAGUAGUACUUUGGUUAAAGGUGAAGAUAUAGUCCGUGCCAUCAGUAAUGAUGGAUAAAGCUUUAAGACAUGAACACCUUAAAGUAACACGCGUGAGACAGUUCGGUUUAUAUCCGCUGUGGACGUUAGGAAAUUUGAGAGAAGUUGACCCUAGUAAGUAAUUGCUACUUCACGUAGAGAUACGUGAUGACAAUGUGGCUUAUAACGGUGAAACCUUCGCAUGUUUCUGGUUCAAGAAUUAUACAUUCCAGACUGGUCCGUCUGUAGUAUAAUUUGCUUGAGGACCGGAAUCCUCUGAAAGGUAAUACCGUGGGAAGUCGAUCAAAUACCGAGAAAGCAUACAUUGCAGGUUUUCUUGAUGGUGAUGGCAGCAUUAUGUUGCAGCUAAAGAAGCGAUCAGACACAAAACGUGGCUAUCGUUUUAUGGCAACAAUCUGCUUUUAUCAAGAUACCCGUCACGAAGAGCCAUUGCGUUGGAUACGCAGUGUGCUCAAAAUUGGCUAUAUAUCUAGAAGAAACGAUGGAGUUAGUGAACUCAGAGUAAACGGCUACAAGUCAGUAGGCCGGGUUCUGGAUGAUUUGAUUCCAUACAUUCGCUUUAAGCGUGUACAGGCAGCAGCUAUGGUACAGGCGUGCGAAAUUCUAGAGAAUACGCCACUUGGUAAGCUUUCAGAAAAGCAACUCAAAUACGUAAUUGAUCUUGUUUUGGCAAUCCAAAACGAGAAUUACAGUACGCAUAGAAAGCGUCAAAGAGAGGAGCUUUUAAAGGAAUUUGGUUUGACCCCGUAACGACUCAGCCAAUGAGGUUCACCCUCAGCGGCGGACUUGGUGUGAAAAUCAGUGAAUUAUUCCAUAAAAGAAUGACACACGCACUAGGUAAUAUGCCACCACCCUCGCUUGAAUCGUGCAAGACGGGUGAAGAUAUAGUCUACACUCCUGGAAACAGGGGAGUAAGUGACGAGAGGACCGGGUUGAACGCACCGCUGGUGUACCAGUUGUCAUACCAAUGGCAUUGCUGGGUAGCUAAGUGCGGAACGGAUAAGCGCUGAAAGCAUAUUAAGCGCGAAGCCGGUCUCAAGAUUAGAUUUCCCUAUGAGGGCCCAGAAAGACCAUCUGGUUGAUAGGCGCAAGGUGAAAGUGCAGUAAUGUAUUGAGCCGAAGUGUACUAAUCGCCCCAUUGACUUUUUAUG
rnacentral:rRNA from 1 species